rnacentral:rRNA from 1 species
CCUACGGGAGGCAGCAGUGAGGAAUAUUGGUCAAUGGGCGCGAGCCUGAACCAGCCAAGUCGCGUGAGGGAUGAUGGCCCUACGGGUUGUAAACCUCUUUUGCCGGGGAGCAACGGGCGCCACGUGUGGCGCCCCUGAUAGUACCCGGAGAAAAAGCAUCGGCUAACUCCGUGCCAGCAGCCGCGGUAAUACGGAGGAUGCGCGCGUUAUCCGGAUUUAUUGGGUUUAAAGGGUGCGUAGGCGGAUCGUUAAGUCAGUGGUCAAAUUGAGGGGCUCAACCCCUUCCCGCCAUUGAAACUGGCGCUCUUGAGUGGAAGAGAAGUAGGCGGAAUGCGGGGUGUAGCGGUGAAAUGCAUAGAUAUCACGCAGAACCCCGAUUGCGAAGGCAGCAUGCCGGCUUCCGACUGACGCUGAAGCACGAAAGCGUGGGGAUCGAACAGGAUUAGAUACCCGUGUAGUC